rnacentral:rRNA from 1 species
AACGAACGCUGGCGGCGUGGAUAAGACAUGCAAGUCGGACGCCCUUUUCAGGGUAGCAAUAUUCUGAAGAGGGAGUGGCGUAAGGGUGCGUAACACGUGGGUAAUUUGCCGCGAAGUUGGGAAUAACUCGCUGAAAGGCGAGCUAAUGCCGAAUGUGGUGUUUGAGGGACAUCCCUUGACCACUAAAGUUGGGGACCGUAAGGCCUGACGCUUCGCGAUAAGCCCGCGGCCUAUCAGCUAGUUGGUGAGGUAACGGCCCACCAAGGCUAAGACGGGUAGCUGGUCUGAGAGGACGACCAGCCACACUGGAACUGAGACACGGUCCAGACACCUACGGGUGGCAGCAGUCGAGAAUUUUUCACAAUGGGCGAAAGCCUGAUGGAGCGACGCCGCGUGGGGGAUGAAUGGCUUCGGCCCGUAAACCCCUGUCAUUUGCGAUCAAACCUUUUCCGUUAACACCGGAAAAGCUGAUAGUAGCGAAAGAGGAAGGGACGGCUAACUCUGUGCCAGCAGCCGCGGUAAUACAGAGGUCCCAAGCGUUGUUCGGAUUCACUGGGCGUAAAGGGUGCGUAGGUGGUAGGGUAAGUUUGGUGUGAAAUCUCUGGGCCUAACCCAGAAACUGCAUUAAAUACUAUCCUGCUAGAGGUUUGGAAGGGGGACUGGAAUUCUCGGUGUAGCAGUGAAAUGCGUAGAUAUCGAGAGGAACACCAGUGGCGAAGGCGAGUCCCUGGACAACACCUGACACUGAGGCACGAAAGCUAGGGGAGCAAACAGGAUUAGAUACCCUGGUAGUCCUAGCCCUAAACGGUGCACAUUUGCUGUGAGCGGAAUCGACCCCGCUCGUGGCGGAGCUAACGCGUUAAAUGUGCCGCCUGGGAAGUACGGUCGCAAGAUUA